rnacentral:tRNA from 1 species
GGGAUCGUAGGGUAGCCUGGUCCAUCCUGUUAGGCUGGGGGUCUAGCGACUGGAGUUCAAAUCUCCACGAUCCCACCA